rnacentral:rRNA from 1 species
GUGGGAAACGAUGUGGGAAGGCUCAGACAGCCAGGAUGUUGGCUUAGAAGCAGCCAUCAUUUAAAGAAAGCGUAAUAGCUCACUGGUCGAGUCGGCCUGCGCGGAAGAUGUAACGGGGCUAAACCAUGCACCGAAGCUGCGGCAGCGACACUAUGUGUUGUUGGGUAGGGGAGCGUUCUGUAAGCCUGUGAAGGUGUAUCGUGAGGUAUGCUGGAGGUAUCAGAAGUGCGAAUGCUGACAUAAGUAACGAUAAAGCGGGUGAAAAGCCCGCUCGCCGGAAGACCAAGGGUUCCUGUCCAACGUUAAU